CAAAUCAGAAACAGUGGGAAGAGUACAGAGGAAAAAGCAGCUGGUGAUAGUCUAGGAUCAUCAGCUAUGCAUGGGUCAGGGAGAAAAGGAAGCUAUGGGAACAAGAGAGUGGGCCAUCUCCACAACCAAGGAGAAGAGAAUGACCAGAAAAAGGGAACUCCUGCAGAGACAUCAGGCUACUGAGAAAGACCUACAGAUUUACACAAGAGCCUUUUAGAACUUGACUUGAGAAGUUUCAGGAAAAUAUGAGGAUGAGAGCUAAGGGAGUCCUACCAUGUCCCAGCAUGCAAAACAGUGCCUGAGGUAGGUGGUUAUUUCAUAGAUAUUUUGGAUGUAUGGAUAAAUGAAUGGAUAGAUGGAUGGAUGGAUGGAUGAUGGAUGGAUGGAUAAAUGGAAGUAUUAAUGGAUACAAAGAGUCCUCUAAGAGAUCAGGGAAGGUUUCAUGAAUGUGGUGGGACUGCGCUGUCUCCAUGGGUAGAAAUGCAAGUAGAAGAAUCUCCAUGUGAAGGUUCCUUAAGUCAGGCAUGACCCAGUGUCUGUGGAUCCAGGGAAGAAACUGUCAGGGCUGGACAAUUGGGAAUUUAUCCAAAGGAGAUUCAGAAGUUCUAAAAUGAGGCCAGGAGAGGUUGAGC
rnacentral:lncRNA from 1 species